ensembl:lncRNA
GGGAUGCCGUGCCGGGGCUGCAGAAUUCCCUUCCCUCUCCCUUGCAGCCCAUUCCAGGCCCGUUCCCCCCGGGCAGCAGAGGGAUGUGGGCAGGCGGCGGGACCCGGGACCAGCUCCAGCACCUGGCACGAAGCCACCAAGGAGGAAAAAGCCACCAAGCAGGAGUGACACCACUGCCAGCACCAGGGCAGAAAAACAGCCCCACAAAAGCAGAAAGCAGCGGGCUCACUCCCCUCCAGUGCUUCAGAUUCCUGGGAGGAACCCUGAGCCAGCCCAAAACACUGCAGAGGGGAACCAGGAGGAUGCAAAAACAAAGAAGGCUGGAGCAUCAGCUUGCAGUAUUUUGGGUUCCAGUGGGGCAGAGGAAGGUCUCUGCACUCAGCUGAGCGAAAGCCUGAGGUGGGAUGGGAUUCUGGAGGAUCCUGAGGCAGAGAAGGAAAGGCUGUGUGUUUACAGAGUGAACAGGAGGAAAAGGUAUGAAUUGUAUAUCCAGGAGCACUUCCCAGCUGCCAGGAAUUCCCCACCCCUCCAUGGCAGCAGCAGGUAAAGGAGAUUCAUUUUUUGGAAGAACAAGUGUGAACUGAAUGCUGAAGGAGCCUCUGAGCUGCACCAGGGGUGUCACCCAAAAUCCCAACAAUUUCUGUGUCCUAGCAGUGCUUACUCACUGUCUGUGUGGAGGAGAGGACAUUUAUAUUUUACAAAGCAAACCAAGCUGUUAAAAUACACACAGACAAUUAGAAGUGCUCCUUUCCACAUUGUGUGUUUGUCCUGGAACUUCACUAAUUAUUGCUGUUGGUUUAUUGCCAAAUAAUGCUCCUCAACUUUCCAGGUAUUCACGUUGGAGAUCUGUGAGCAAAUUAAGGACAACACCUUGUUUAGAGGCUGAAAUGAUUUCCAGGAACGUGAACUUACCUUCCUUGAAACUCCUCGAGCUGCAAAGUCAGGAUGGGGAUCCAAUCCUCACCUCCUGCCUUUUGUUCUAAUUGUUAGGCUGAGUGUUUUAUUUUGUUACAAAAAUCCAUUAUCUCAGACCCUCAGAUGUGACAUUCUGGAGAAGCACACAUGAAAGGGAAACAGCACAUCCAGAACAACAGGGUUUCCUUGGAAUGGUGGGUGCUAAUUAGAAGCUCAUUGGGCCAAUAUGAAUUAAAAUCACAUGGAACAGCCUUGUACUCCCCUACUUUAAUUUUUUAUAGUAAAAGAAUGUUUUUCAUACAGAGUGUCAUGACAAGACUUAAGGAGAACAGCCCAGCCCUCACGACAGGAAGGAUUUGAAAGUUGGGUGACAUCUGAAACUCUCCCCCAGCUGCCCUGAAAGACACUGUGCUGACUUUUAAAGUUUUUUUUCUUAAUGGCUUUUUAAAUAGCCCCUUUUAUACAGAACUGAUGUUUAUGUGUGGCUUUUCUCCUGUUUAAUACUUCAAAACUCCAGGAUACCCAAAAGCUCUCAGAGCCUUUUGCUGGAAGCAGCAGUUUUGGAGCAGCUCCACGGCUCCCCAGACCCCAAUAAUGUCAUUACAUGCAACUCCAGAGCUUCCACAAGCACAGAACCAGAUGAACAAUAAAAAGUAAGGAAAAAAAAUAAAAAAAUCCCA